UUAUAUUCAUGCCGUCGUAGCAAAUUCUGCGACCAGGUUUGACAGCCUGAAUG
rnacentral:ncRNA from 1 species